GAAAAGUGCGGGACCCUCAUCAAACUCAGCAACAAUAAUAAGACGGCUGAGCGCCGGCGGCCCCUGGAUGAAUUCAACAAUGGGGUUGUCAUGACCAAUCGCCCCCUUCGGGACAAUGAGAUGUUUGAGAUCCGUAUCGACAAGCUUGUUGAUAAGUGGUCAGGCUCCAUUGAGAUUGGGGUCACCACCCACAACCCCAACAGUUUGGAGUACCCAGCCACCAUGACCAACCUCCAGUCAGGCACCAUCAUGAUGAGCGGCUGUGGAAUCCUGACCAAUGGCAAGGGCACCCGCCGGGAGUACUGCGAAUUCAGUCUGGAUGAGUUGCAGGAGGGUGACCACAUUGGCCUCACAAGGAAGUCCAACUCUGCCCUACACUUCUUCAUUAAUGGUAUCGAUCAGGGAGUGGCAACCCCCUUGACGCCCCCAGUGGUGUAUGGUGUGGUGGACUUGUACGGGAUGGCAGUGAAGGUGACCAUCGUCCACAAUAACAACCACAGUGACCGUCUCCGCCGAAACAACGCCAUCCUGCGGGCGCUGUCCCCCGAGGGUGCUCUCCGCCGUGCUGCCCCUGCCGCCCAGGCAGAACCUGAGCGCCUGCUCUUCCACCCCAACUGUGGGCAGAAGGCAGCCAUCACCCACGAGGGACGCACUGCCCUGAGGCCCCAUGCCACCGAUGACUUCAAUCACGGCGUGGUGCUGAGCAGCAGAGCCCUGCGGGAUGGAGAGGUGUUCCAGGGACCUGGAUGAUGACUGGGAAUGGGGUGAUGCACAAUGGGACGACCAUCCUGGAUGAAUACGGGCACAAUCUGGACCGCCUCAAGGGGACACGGUGGGCGUGGUACGGCGGGAGGACGGGACUCUCCACUUCUUUGUCAAUGGGAUGACUCAGGGCCCUGCUGCCUGGAACGUGCCCCCGGGCGUCUAUGCUGUCGUCGAUCUCUAUGGCCAGGCGGCCCAGGCCACCAUUGUGGACGACGUGGAGGUGGCUCCAGUUCCUGAACCACUCCCUGAGGGGAACAACCAGGUGUCUCCAAGCUCUCCGUCCUCAGGGGCCGGGGGCUCUGACCUGCGCUUCCAUCAGCUGCACGGCAGUAACGCAGUCAUCACUAACGGGGGCCGCACCGCCCUCCGCCACAACUGUCGCAGCGAGUUUAAUGACGCCAUCGUCAUCUCCAACCGGGCCCUGCGGGAUGGAGAGCUGUUUGAAAUUGUCAUUCAGAAGAUGGUGGACCGCUGGUCAGGCUCCAUUGAGGCUGGAGUGACUGCUAUUCGGCCUGAAGACCUGGAAUUCCCCAACACCAUGACAGACAUUGACUAUGACACAUGGAUGCUGAGUGGUACAGCCAUCAUGCAAGACGGUAACACGAUGCGCAACAAUUAUGGGUGUGACCUGGAUGCGCUGGGCACAGGUGCACGCAUUGGCAUGAUGCGAACUGCCAAGGGCGACCUGCACUACUUCAUCAACGGCCAGGACCAAGGCGCUGCCUGCUCGGGCCUGCCUCCGGGUAAAGAGGUGUAUGCGGUAGUCGAUCUCUAUGGCCAGUGUGUCCAAGUGUCCAUCACCAAUGCCACCGGCCCCAUGGACAACAGCCUGGCGACCAGCAACACUGCCACCGAGAAGUCCUUCCCACUGCACUCCCCAGUGGCUGGCGUGGCUCACCGAUUCCACAGUACUUGCGGCAAGAACGUCACUCUAGAGGAGGAUGGCACGAGGGCAGUGCGUGCCGCUGGCUAUGCUCAUGGCCUUGUCUUCAGUACCAAGGAGCUGAGGGCUGAGGAAGUCUUUGAGGUGAAAGUGGAAGAGCUAGAUGAGAAGUGGGCAGGUUCCCUGCGGCUGGGGCUGACCA
rnacentral:lncRNA from 1 species